ACUCUGAACCACAGAGUAGCGAGUCGCGAUUGCUAGAUGUAAUGACGUCAUAUUGUGAAUUCUUUGCAAAAUACAAACAACAAAGAGAAAGUUUAGAAAAAUCUAAGACCUGCUUUUCCUAUUGCCCUGUGCUUCCACGGUGCGUAAAAAGAAUAGAGAAGUGCCAUGUGACUUACGUAGCAACCCCAGCUUAAGGUUAUUGCUGAAAGGUCUCUGUAGCGGUUAGGUGCAAGCGAUGAGUGCAUACACCACACAACAUAUUUAUGCUAACGUGCGAACCACCGAAGUUGUCCGAACGACCCGGGUCACCUUGAGCCGGAGUCGUGUCCAAAGAAUAUUUUUAAAUUUUAAGGUCGUGUCUGAAUCGCCUUAGACGAGAAACACGGCGUAACUACUGACUCGCUUUCUUACAUGUCUAACUUUUCGACAUGUAAUCAUUAGAGAAAUAGUCAAAGGAAUUAUGUUUUACUAGUUUAGUUCCUUUUUUACUUAGUAUGUGUUUGAUCUCCAUCAUUAGGGUAAUUUUGAAUGGCAUAUAUAAUGAAUAGCUUUCCAAAUACACUUUCGAUAUACCUAGUUUAAUAUUCAUUGUCUAAUCAAAUGGAACAUCUCAAUCAAAUGGAAGAGCUCAAUUGGAUUGCAUCAUCUUUUACAAGACAAACCACAAAAAUUUACAUUUUCUAUUUAUUACCUUGUAUUUUAAACUUAAUAUUGUUUCUAUUACCCAUAGGCUUUUAUCUUAUUGUAAAUGCCGUUCUGGUUGUACCUACACUAUCGGCAAUUCUUCUAUGUGUUAAGAUCGAACCUGUUUGUACGACACGCUCGCCACCUCAAUUACGUUGUUGACGAGAGACUUGUGAACGAGGAACCCGACACCACCCUGGGACGGUUGGUCGCCCUCCCGGAAAUAGAGCAUGUGUCCGGAAUGUGAUGAUUGAGGAGUGGGAAGGUAUCCCACAAGAAUCAAUUCAGAAGCUGCUCAAGUCUAUGAAAAAUCGUCUUCGAGAAGUUAUUAAGGCGAGGGGAGGUACACAAAGUACUGACACUUAAUUUUAAGGCGAAAUAAAAUUAUUAUUUAUUAA